GCCUUGGUAGUUUAAUGGUUAGAACGCAUUUCUCACCCAUUUGUAGUAUCGGUUCGAUUCCGUUCCGAGGCA